rnacentral:rRNA from 1 species
UACGUAGGGUGCGAGCGUUAAUCGGAAUUACUGGGCGUAAAGCGUGCGCAGGCGGUCUGUUAAGACCGAUGUGAAAUCCCCGGGCUUAACCUGGGAACUGCAUUGGUGACUGGCAGGCUUUGAGUGUGGCAGAGGGAGGUAGGAUUCCACGUGUAGCAGUGAAAUGCGUAGAGAUGUGGAGGAAUACCGAUGGCGAAGGCAGCCUCCUGGGCCAACACUGACGCUCAUGCACGAAAGCGUGGGGAGCAAACAGG